rnacentral:rRNA from 1 species
AACGAACGCUGGCGGCAGGCUUAACACAUGCAAGUCGAACGCCCCGCAAGGGGAGUGGCAGACGGGUGAGUAACGCGUGGGAAUCUACCCAGAUCUUCGGAACAACUGAGGGAAACUUCAGCUAAUGCCGGAUACGCCCUACGGGGGAAAGAUUUAUCGGAUCUGGAUGAGCCCGCGUUGGAUUAGCUAGUUGGUGGGGUAAUGGCCUACCAAGGCGACGAUCCAUAGCUGGUCUGAGAGGAUGAUCAGCCACACUGGGACUGAGACACGGCCCAGACUCCUACGGGAGGCAGCAGUGGGGAAUAUUGGACAAUGGGCGAAAGCCUGAUCCAGCCAUGCCGCGUGAGUGAUGAAGGCCUUAGGGUUGUAAAGCUCUUUCAGUAGGGAAGAUAAUGACGGUACCUACAGAAGAAGCCCCGGCUAACUUCGUGCCAGCCGCCGCGGUAACAC